UACAGAGGUCUCAAGCGUUGUUCGGAUUCAUUGGGCGUAAAGGGUGCGUAGGCGGCGCGGUAAGUCGGGUGUGAAAUCUCGGAGCUUAACUCCGAAACUGCAUUCGAUACUGCCGUGCUUGAGGACUGGAGAGGAGACUGGAAUUUACGGUGUAGCGGUGAAAUGCGUAGAUAUCGUAAGGAAGACCAGUGGCGAAGGCGGGUCUCUGGACAGUUCCUGACGCUCAGGCGCGAAAGCUAGGGGAGCAAACAGG
rnacentral:rRNA from 1 species